rnacentral:RNase_P_RNA from 1 species
GAGGAAAGUCCGGGCUCGCACAAGCUGAGAUGCUUGUAGUGUUCGUGCUUAGCGAAAUCAUAAGCUAAGGUACUCUUUUAGAGUAACGGCAGGAAAAAUGACUAAGGUUUCGACUAUGUCAAAGUAUCCUUGAAAGUGCCACAGUGACGAAGCGAUGUGGGAAACUCCAUCGGUGGAACGCGGUAAACCCCUCGAGCGAGCAACCCAAACAAUGGUAGGGGCGCUCUUCUAAAGGAAAUGAACGAGUAGAAGAGGCAGAGUUUACUCUGCAGAUAGAUGAUGACCGUCACCAAUUUUUCCUGAAGAAUUGGUGAUACAGAACGCGGCUUAU